AUGAAUAUCGCCAGUGCCUUCUAUCAUACGUACGCUUCUUAGCUAGAGAAGCAGAUGAGUCUCGAUUGCGAGAGCUCUGUGAAAGUUUUCUUGGACCUCCCACUGGGAUGGCUGAAUCUACAUCUUCAAAUGCGAAGGAUUUGACUUGGGAUCCUUGUGUUCUUGGAAUGAAAAAGCACAAACUCUUAAGAGAAGAUAUUCUUCCUUCGAUGGCAUCAAAUAGAAAAGUCCAACGUUUACUCAACGAAUUCAUGAAUCUCCUGUCUGAAUAUGGAAGUGCUGAAACUAAUCUUGAUAAAAAAAAUUCAAUGCAACCAACUACAUCUCAACCAGAAACUAAUGAAAUGGACCUUGACCAAUCAGCAUCAGAUCAAAAUAACUCCCUCGCGCCAGUGAUGGAUCAAACAAACUCUACCCAACGAGCAACAGAUAACAAGGAUUCUGUCCCUAUCACCAUAAAUGAAACCAGCUCUACUCCACUAGCAAGUGAUCAAGUAGAUUCAGGUCCAAUAUUGACAGAUCAAGUUAUUCCAGACUCACCAGCUACAGAUACUGGUUCCUGAAUUCUUGAGCUUCUUACCAAUGGUAUUAAUCUUGAAAGAACAUUAGCAGGCUAAAAUGUGGUGUUACUAAAGUGGAUAUAGGUGCAUGUAUAUCACCAUCAAUGGCUUUCUGCAAAGUGACCCUCCAAGGUAUUUGAAAUGAUGAAUCCUUCCCAUUUGAGUAUCUGGUGCAUGUCUUUAGUUAUUCUUUGAAGUUGCACAUUGGAGUGUAACAGAGAAUCUCACUGUUUAACCUUAGCUAAAGGAUUUUGAAUGACUUUCCAACUACAGCUUUUGUAAUCAAUCUAAUUCAUAUUAAA
rnacentral:misc_RNA from 1 species